UGAGCUGCUUCUUCCUCCAAGUCUAAGU
rnacentral:misc_RNA from 1 species